rnacentral:rRNA from 1 species
CUGCAGCCCGAGUGGUGAUCGAUUUUAUUGAGCCUAAAGCGUCCGUAGCCGGACUAGUAAACCCUUGGGUAAAUUGGGCAGCUUAACUGUCCGAAUUCCGAGGGGACUGCUAGUCUUGGGACCGGGAGAGGUCAGAGGUACUCCAGGGGUAGGGGCUAAAUCCUGUAAUCCUUGGGGGACCACCAGUGGCGAAGGCGUCUGACUAGAACGGAUCCGACGGUAAGGGACGAAACCCUGGGGCGCGAACCGGAUUAGAGACCCGAGUAGUCC